rnacentral:lncRNA from 1 species
UUGAUUUGAAUGUCCCAAGUAGGCAUCAUCGACAUCUUCUCACCACUUUCCUAGCAAUAGAAAAAGAGACAAAACAAAAAACAUUAAACAGUCCAAUAACAAAUCGAUAAACAAGGACCUAGUUCAUGGGCACAUGGAACGGUGGACUUAGGACACAAUUAACGACAUCUAGUUUAUAGCAACCAUUGAAGAGACACGUAACAACAAGGUAAUGAAAACAUCUACUGGACAUAACAACGAGCACGACAAAUAUAGAAGCGGCAGUUGCCCAGAUUUUCCUAUGCAACUAUGUGGGAGCACAUUCCGCAGAACACGCU